AUUGAACGCUGGCGGCAGGCUUAACACAUGCAAGUCGAACGGCAGCACGGGAGCAAUCCUGGUGGCGAGUGGCGAACGGGUGAGUAAAGUAUCGGAACGUGCCCAGUCGUGGGGGAUAACGUAGCGAAAGUUACGCUAAUACCGCAUACGAUCUAUGGAUGAAAGCGGGGGAUCGCAAGACCUCGCGCGAUUGGAGCGGCCGAUAUCAGAUUAGGUAGUUGGUGGGGUAAAGGCUCACCAAGCCGACGAUCUGUAGCUGGUCUGAGAGGACGACCAGCCACACUGGGACUGAGACACGGCCCAGACUCCUACGGGAGGCAGCAGUGGGGAAUUUUGGACAAUGGGCGGAAGCCUGAUCCAGCCAUGCCGCGUGCAGGAUGAAGGCCUUCGGGUUGUAAACUGCUUUUGUACGGAACGAAAAGGUUUGGCCUAAUAAGCUGAGCUCAUGACGGUACCGUAAGAAUAAGCACCGGCUAACUACGUGCCAGCCGCCGCAGUAA
rnacentral:rRNA from 1 species